rnacentral:tRNA from 2 species
UGCGCGGUAGGACAGUUCGGUAGUCCAGCGGGCUGAUGACCCGGACGUCGGUGGUUCGAAUCCACGCCGCGCAACGA